rnacentral:misc_RNA from 1 species
UUUUCCCCAUAGCAUCCGGUUUAACCUCGCUUAUAUAUUUUCUGCGUGGACCUCAGGGUCCACGCAAUAAUUGUCUGUUCUUUUCGUUGUCAGACACCGCUUAACUGAACAAUGUAAGGAAGAUUGAUAAGAAUCCCAGACAUCGCUGUUGCAUUCUUAUACGAGCGUAAUGAACGACAACUGCGAUUUUUAAUGACGUAAAGCAUAUCAAACCACGUGAUUAAACGUAACAAAUACAGUGACGUCACAAUUAUCACUACAACAAAGAGUGCGUGGCGGCAUACAGCGAAGAAUCGGCAUUUUUUUAAAUUAAGUAAGACACGUAUUAUGGAGAGACUAAUAAAGUAUUGCAAAGCAACAACCAAAGAGAUUGAAUCAUCCUUUGUACUAAAUUUUGCUCGGACUGAAUUGCAGAAAUUUAACAGCAGAGUAGAUAGAGCAUACGCAGAUGCUUUAAAUUUGGAUAGAAUGACUCAGGAGUCGUUCACAAAGAUGAUCCCCAAAGACAUGAACAACAACACGCCAUCUUGUUCUGGGAGAGAAUCUGGAGAUCCAGUCGACGGAUUGAAGAGUCAGGGACGAAUUUGGGGUUUCUGAAGAGACAUGGAAGAAAUAUUAGAGAAUUUGAGAAUAACACUAGAAAAGAAAUUGAUUUGCAUAAAGAAAACCCGUUGGAUGCCAUAGAACACAAAGAGAAAGACGACGACGGCCAUUUUAUUCCAUUUUAUUCUGUUUAAAGUGGAGAAAUUUAAGGGUGAAACCGAUGGAAGACUGGGGGUCAGAAAAAGUACCAAUACAUUCCGCGCACCUGUCCCAAAUUGUGCACGCAGUACAGCAAUAGAAGUCUUAGAUAACGAACGCGAUGGAAGACACAGGGUCAGGAAAAGCACCAAGACUUUCCGUGCGCCUGAUCCAAAUUCUACACGCAGUACAGCAAUAGAAGGCUCAUGGAUUGGAGAUAAUGGAUCCAGACGGGUUAUCAGGAAAAGCACAAAGACAUUCCGCGCCCCUGAUCCCAAGUCUACGCGCAGUAGUCUAGUAGAGUACUUAAUUAAAUGUGGUACCAAACACAAAACCAGAGCAAACAUCACCUAGCCUUCGAUGCAAAGUCAAAAAGCUCUUUGGAUUCCGAUGAUUAAUUCAUUAUCAAUUUGUUUUAUUAAAAUACCAUGAAGUUAAUUAAGUUAUUUGAAUACAAUUAUGAGUGACAAUUAAAAGAAUAUAUGU